rnacentral:rRNA from 1 species
CCCUCUUUCUCCCGCUUUUUUCGGAUUCAUUGGGCGUAAAGGGUGCGUAGGUGGCGCCAUAAGUCAGGUGUGAAAUCUCGGGGCUCAACCCCGAAACUGCACUUGAUACUGUGGUGCUCGAGUACUGGAGAGGAGAUUGGAAUUUACGGUGUAGCAGUGAAAUGCGUAGAUAUCGUAAGGAAGACCAGUGGCGAAGGCGAAUCUCUGGACAGUUACUGACACUGAGGCACGAAGGCCAGGGGAGCAAACGGGA